UACGUAGGGGGCUAGCGUUGUCCGGAAUCAUUGGGCGUAAAGAGCGUGUAGGCGGCCAGAUAAGUCCGCUGUGAAAUCUCGAGGCUCAACUUCGAGCUGUCGGUGGAAACUGUCUGGCUAGAGUCCGGGAAGAGGAGAUGGAAUUCCUGGUGUAGCGGUGAAAUGCGCAGAUAUCAGGAAGAACACCCGUGGCUAAGGCGGUUCUCUAGUACGGUACUGACGCUGAGACGCGAAAGCGUGGGGAGCGAACAGG
rnacentral:rRNA from 1 species